UGACAACAAGAAGAGCAACUUUUUUUUUUUGGAGGAACAGAGUUUUGCUCAGUCUUAAUAGUUCAUAAAAAAAGCCCAUCUUAAAAAAUUCAGGGGCCCUCUCUCAGGCAGGCUCAUUUUGUGGAGGCAAAAGCAUCUUCGAAGGCUAAUUAAUAAUUAGCAGCCACGUAAUCAGUUUAUAUUUCUUAUUUUGGGUUCUGGACCGAGUUUGUCUUUCUGUUACCUUUUAUGAUUGAUGACCCUGUACUUUGCCAUAUUACUUUGUGGGUACUGAUUACAAAUUUAUGUUCCCUGUUUUUUGAUUGCAGGAGGAUUUCUUCCAUGGCUGAAUGUAACCCCAAUCUAAAGAAACAUCUGCUUUACUUGGUGUGUUAUCUAGAAACGACAUGCAUUCUGCUGCAAAUCAUAUUCAUGAUAUGGGCCACGGUUGUAGUAUUUAGAAAAUGUAUUUGAAAUUUAUAGAUAGAAACGGCAUAAACUUUCUAUACUCCCUCUGGGGUAAUAGAUGUCUAACCCUUUUGUUGUUUGGCACCAACUCACUUUAGCCUUGAACUUGUGGAUGUGACACUCUGCCUGUCUAAUGCAUCCAUCUUGGCCACAAACAGGAGAUGCCAAGCAUGUACCCUCACAAAAUGUACAGGACACGCCAUGUGGCUUGUCUUAUAUUUUUUAUUAAAUUUUUGGAUGGCCAAGUUACAUGGCUUGCGUACGUGUGUCCUAUGCUCUAGACAAGUUACAGACAAUGUUGAUGUAUAAUAUUUAGAUUUUACAUCAAAAUAAUUUUUAUAUAGAACUAUUUAUAUUUUCUAUUUUUUGUGUACUAUAUUCAUAUGCUUAGCAAAUAAAAAUAUAUUUAUAGUCAUAAUCGUUCCGUGUCCUUAUACUGAUUAUUUGAAAAUCAUUUUAUCCCAAGUCGGUGUCCGUACUUGGCUGGCUGUUGGACUUGGGUUACCACAGUCCACUCUCGUUUAUGGCCACACGUCCUCGUGUGGAACCUGCCCCAAGUUAGCUGAUCCAAACAAUAACGGAAUGUCUGAUUCGGCUAAGCAUUCAUCGACGUUAAAACACGUCUUAAUUGGAGUAGUAAGGCCUUACAUGUAUGGCCUAGUAACUUUCCACUCAUUCAACACGUGAGACAAGACAAUAGUUGAGACAUUUGGCCUUAUCUUGACCUCAAUCCAUCUGGCCCCAAUCCUCAGGAGGUUAGACCUUCAACGCAUGUAUUUUUCGCAUAGGUAAUGCAGUAACUCAGAAGUGUAGCUGCAAUGAUGUGGUGAAGAAAAGUGCUUAUAAACUGGUUACUAAGAACCGUACCCGAAUAAUAUGGAUCCCAAGACUUUGUCCAUGGUAAGCUGAUCCAGGACAUAUUUUCUUGUGAACCUUUUUUUUUUCUUUUUUUUGUAACUGUUUGGAUAGUAUUGUAGACUGGUACCAAAAGUUUUCCCUAAGAUUCUUAGGGCAGAUUUUUCUUUAUAUAAAAUUACAAUAGGAAAAGAUAUGUAACGCUUUAUGUUUGGAUCAGAAUGGACUUGUUCAAAGGAGGUGACCUCGCCGGUUCAUAGUUGCUGUUGAUAUUUCUUUGAUGGUUGAUGAAUGUGAUUGUUUGGGCUGUAUAUCAAAGGGUUUGUCUUUUUGCAAUUUGAGUUACCUAAUUUAUUUGUAGGAGAGAGGAAUUUGUAUGAGCUACCUUCACUGCGCAUAAUCAAUUGGACUAAUCAUGGAACCGGAUGCACUUUGACACAGUAUAGCGGCUGAGCUUGCAAAAGGUUCUUCAAUGCCUACUGCUGUUAAGGUAUUUUAUGUUAUGUUUGUAUUUUUGGAUUGUUGGGCUGCUUGUAACAUUAAUGAAGGACACUUCAGUGUUUCAUUAUAGCCCGAGUUAAUCUAAAACAAAGAAUGAAGGAAAAAAGAAUGAGUGGGGUCAUCUGAAGAUAAGGUGACUAUACUCAAUAGAUGAAGUCCCUUGGUAGUGUAAACAAAAUUUGAAUAUGAUCUAUGAGGCUCCACAGUUGGAUUGGCUUUUGUUGCAAGGUGUAUAAUGGCCGUUGUUGCAUGCUAUACCCCAAUUACAAAAUUUGAUGCUGGACCGAUGCACUAUUUGACUGCUAAUGUUUAUGUCUAUCGAAUUAUGGUCCUGACAUUUGUUACUUGUUUUCUGAACCAUUUUUUUUCCUUUGCUGAAUCUGUCCUCAAUACUUAUUUUAUCUGACUCCUCACAGGUAUCUAAAAGCGAUUGUUGAAAACGCUUUGGAGUACAGCAAAGACAUUGCCAUUGGAAGUGGGCUUCAUGGUCCUUUUGACAAUCUAAUUUCAGGCUUAAGCAUAACGUCCAUCAAUUCAUGUAGACUCACGGGCUUUGACGCCCGUGAUCUCUUCUUGUACGGCGUACUGAUUCAUGGAUGACAAAAUUAGGGUCAUUCCAUCUCACAGUGCUGUCACGGUGGUCUAUAGAAGGGGGUGCCACCAUUGUCCAGCUGAGUUGUGUAUUAUUCACAUGCAU
rnacentral:lncRNA from 1 species